rnacentral:sRNA from 1 species
ACAGCUACAACCGCACAGAACGAGUUAUUAAGUACAGUUUACUGUCACUCUGGAUGGCGAGUCUAAGUCUAUU